AUUGAACGCUGGCGGCAUGCCUUACACAUGCAAGUCGAACGGCAGCACGGGAGCAAUCCUGGUGGCGAGUGGCGAACGGGUGAGUAAUAUAUCGGAACGUGCCCAGUCGUGGGGGAUAACGUAGCGAAAGCUACGCUAAUACCGCAUACGAUCUACGGAUGAAAGCGGGGGAUCGCAAGACCUCGCGCGAUUGGAGCGGCCGAUAUCAGAUUAGCUAGUUGGUGGGGUAAAGCCCACCAAGGCGACGAUCUGUAGCUGGUCUGAGAGGACGACCAGCCACACUGGGACUGAGACACGGCCCAGACUCCUACGGGAGGCAGCAGUGGGGAAUUUUGGGACAAUGGGCGCAAGCCUGAUCCAGCAAUGCCGCGUGCAGGACGAAGGCC
rnacentral:rRNA from 1 species